rnacentral:rRNA from 1 species
GACGAACGCUGGCGGCAGGCCUAACACAUGCAAGUCGAGCGAAGCCUUCGGGCUUAGCGGCGGACGGGUGAGUAACGCGUGGGAACGUGCCCUUUGCUACGGAAUAGCCCCGGGAAACUGGGAGUAAUACCGUAUGUGCCCUUCGGGGGAAAGAUUUAUCGGGAAAGGAUCGGCCCGCGUUGGAUUAUGUAGUUGGUGGGGUAAUGGCCUACCAAGCUGACGAUCCAUAGCUGGUUUGAGAGGAUGAUCAGCCACACUGGGACUGAGACACGGCCCAGUCUCCUACGGGAGGCAGCAGUGGGGAAUCUUAGACAAUGGGGGAAACCCUGAUCUAGCCAUGCCGCGUGAUCGAUGAAGGCCUUAGGGUUGUAAAGAUCUUUCAGUGGGGAAGAUAAUGACUGUACCCACAGAAGAAGCCCCGGCUAACUCCGUGCCAGCAGCCGCCGUAA